rnacentral:rRNA from 1 species
GACGAACGCUGGCGGCGUGCCUAAUACAUGCAAGUCGAACGCACAGUUUAUACCGUAGCUUGCUACACCAUAGACUGUGAGUUGCGAACGGGUGAGUAACGCGUAGGUAACCUGCCUGGUAGCGGGGGAUAACUAUUGGAAACGAUAGCUAAUACCGCAUAAUAUUUAUUAUUGCAUGAUAAUUAAUUGAAAGGUGCAAUUGCACCACUACCAGAUGGACCUGCGUUGUAUUAGCUAGUAGGUGAGGUAACGGCUCACCUAGGCGACGAUACAUAGCCGACCUGAGAGGGUGAUCGGCCACACUGGGACUGAGACACGGCCCAGACUCCUACGGGAGGCAGCAGUAGGGAAUCUUCGGCAAUGGACGAAAGUCUGACCGAGCAACGCCGCGUGAGUGAAGAAGGUUUUCGGAUCGUAAAGCUCGGUUGUAAGAGAAGAACGGGUGUGAGAGUGGAAAGUUCACACUGUGACGGUAUCUUACCAGAAAGGGACGGCUAACUACGUG